rnacentral:rRNA from 1 species
AGGAAAUAGAUACCCAGGUAGUCCACGCCCUAAACGAUGUGCACUAGACUGGAGCGGCUCUGACGUCGUUCUGGUCGUAGAGAAAUUGUUAAGUGCACCGCCUGGGUAGUACGGUCGCAAGGCUAAAACUCAAAGGAAUUGACGGGGGCUCACACAAGCGGUGGAGCAUGUUGCUUAAUUCGAAGCAACGCGAAGAACCUUACCUGGGUUUGACAUGCACGGAUUAACCGGUGGAAACAUCGGCCACACUCGCAAGAGUGGAACGUGCACAGGUGCUGCAUGGCUGUCGUCAGCUCGUGCUGUGAAGU